rnacentral:rRNA from 1 species
CCUACGGGCGGCAGCAGUAGGGAAUCUUCCACAAUGGGCGAAAGCCUGAUGGAGCAACGCCGCGUGGGUGAAGAAGGUCUUCGGAUCGUAAAACCCUGUUGUUAGAGAAGAAAGUGCGUGAGAGUAACUGUUCACGUUUCGACGGUAUCUAACCAGAAAGCCACGGCUAACUACGUGCCAGCAGCCGCGGUAAUACGUAGGUGGCAAGCGUUAUCCGGAUUUAUUGGGCGUAAAGGGUACGCAGGCGGUCUUUUAAGUCUGAUGGGAAAGCCUUCGGCUUAACCGGAGUAGUGCAUUGGAAACGGGGAGACUUGAGUGCAGAAGAGGAGAGUGGAACUCCAUGUGUAGCGGUGAAAUGCGUAGAUAUAUGGAAGAACACCAGUGGCGAAAGCGGCUCUCUGGUCUGUAACUGACGCUGAGGUUCGAAAGCGUGGGUAGCAAACAGGAUUAGAUACCCGGGUAGUC